rnacentral:snRNA from 1 species
GUGCUCGCUUCGGCAGCACAUAUACUAAAAUUGUAAUGAUUCAGAGAAGAUUAGCAUGGCCCCUGCACAAGGAUGACAUGCAAAUUCGUGAAGCAUUCCAUAUUUUU